CUGACUUUUAAAGAAUAUUAACUAACACGUGUGAAAUGUAUUGUUUUUUUUCUUAAUAUGUGACAUUGCCUGUGUGACUGAAAGGUAGUUUUUUAGGUAGUGUUACUUCUAUUUUUCUUAAUAUCACAGGUAACUAUUUAAAUGACUUACAUAUUUUUUCUCAAGCUCUAGCUCGACAUGCAGGACAAAGGUAAGUCCGUACUUAAUGUCAACACAAAUAUUUAGAAAAGUUUUAAAAAUGAUGUAGUGAACUGACUGUAGUCUCUUGUUUUUACAUUAGGUAUAGCCUGUGGCUGAGGGAUCAGAGGUGAGGUGCUUUACACUUGUCCUCUCCCAGCAUUCAGCACUUCAGACACUCAACGUCCAAGACGGAGCUAACAAAGAGAGAUACUCCACCCAGAAGACAGCCUUACCCCAGCCCGAUGAGAAGGAUGGAUGACCAAAUGACAAACUGGAGAGUGGUGCUGUGUUCCAGCUAUGGAAGCUGAGAGUGGACAGAGCUGCACAGAGGACCAACGAUCCACUCUCAGCACUUCAUACCUGACUGGCCACAGC